rnacentral:rRNA from 1 species
AACUCCCAACCCCUGUGACAUACCACUUGUUGCCUCGGCGGAUCAGCCCGCUCCCGGUAAAACGGGACGGCCCGCCAGAGGACCCCUAAACUCUGUUUCUAUAUGUAACUUCUGAGUAAAACCAUAAAUAAAUCAAAACUUUCAACAACGGAUCUCUUGGUUCUGGCAUCGAUGAAGAACGCAGCAAAAUGCGAUAAGUAAUGUGAAUUGCAGAAUUCAGUGAAUCAUCGAAUCUUUGAACGCACAUUGCGCCCGCCAGUAUUCUGGCGGGCAUGCCUGUUCGAGCGUCAUUUCAACCCUCAAGCACAGCUUGGUGUUGGGACUCGCGUUAAUUCGCGUUCCCCAAAUUGAUUGGCGGUCACGUCGAGCUUCCAUAGCGUAGUAGUAAAACCCUCGUUACUGGUAAUCGUCGCGGCCACGCCGUUAAACCCCAACUUCUGAAUGUUGACCUCGGAUCAGGUAGGAAUACCCGCUGAACUUAAGCAUAUCAAUAAGCGGAGGGAAAAGAA